rnacentral:rRNA from 1 species
AUUGAACGCUGGCGGCAGGCUUAACACAUGCAAGUCGAACGGUAACAGGGAGAAGCUUGCUUCUUUGCUGACGAGUGGCGGACGGGUGAGUAAUGCUUGGGAAUCUGGCUUAUGGAGGGGGAUAACUACUGGAAACGGUAGCUAAUACCGCGUAAUCUCUUUGGAGUAAAGGGUGGGACUUUCGGGCCACCUGCCAUAAGAUGAGCCCAAGUGGGAUUAGCUAGUUGGUGAGGUAAAGGCUCACCAAGGCGACGAUCUCUAGCUGGUCUGAGAGGAUGACCAGCCACACUGGAACUGAGACACGGUCCAGACUCCUACGGGAGGCAGCAGUGGGGAAUAUUGCACAAUGGGGGGAACCCUGAUGCAGCCAUGCCGCGUGAAUGAAGAAGGCCUUCGGGUUGUAAAGUUCUUUCGGUAGCGAGGAAGGUGCUUUGUUUAAUAGACAAAGCAAUUGACGUUAACUACAGAAGAAGCACCGGCUAACUCCGU